UUGUAAUUGAUUUAUCGAUAUGCGUACGUUUGCCAAUCGCCUCCGGGCGCCGAGGAAUCCCGACGCGACUACCGCCGGAGUCGAGAUCAAAUCUUCGUUUCGCCGCGAUCGCGAUUCGUUCAUCCGAAUUCUUUCAAGUAUUCGGAAAAAGCUGAUCUAUAAUAUUUGUACAGAUGCGACGGUAAUGGAUCGUUUUCGAUACAAUCCUUACGAUUGCGUUGGAAACCCAACAAUUACGAUAUUUAAGUUUCUUAUUCGCCACAGGAUUUAUACAUCCUAUCGAAUCGAAUUCUAACGUACGCGUCUUUCGUUUACGUGGGAGAGGAAAAAAGAAAAGAAUAUGUAUUCAAUUUGUAAAAUUCGUUCCCAGUGUUUCUCUGUUAAUGACAGCCUUUCUAAUUUAAGAGCGAUCUUUUCAACGUGAAACCGAUCUCGCCGUUUCCGAAUACAACAAUGCUUCUUGCCAUUUUUCUUUCAACCCGCGCACGGUCGUAUUAAUUUCGUGAUCUGAAACCGGAUCUGACGAGGGACGAAACCGGCAAGAAGGCAUUCGCACGCAUUUCUUUGUGCCGGGGCCAGCGAAGUCGCGAAUUAGAAAUGAGGCGGAAGAUGCGUAAUUAAAUCGUUGCGAAACUACUGCAAAUAAGCGACAUAUUCACAGCGUGAAAUAUCUCUCCGCAAUUAUCUCGCGCAGGUGUUCUAGCGUCGGUGGUACAACCGAGGCGGGGGUGAUUCUACAUAUAAGAAACAAAUCGAAGGAAGAAAAUUUGUUCGUUUGAGGUUUCGUUUGAUAAACCCGCGAAAAUGGUGAAACGUGAAAUUACUGCAAGUUUGAAAAAAAAGUAUGAAUUUAUUUAGUUCGCGUAGAAGAAAUAUGUACGAAGAUGAAAGUUUCUUUUGAUUUUUUUUUGUGCCAAACCAAAAUUACGACCUGCAUCUUUCCCGCCGAUAGGAGGUUUUAAUUGUGAGCUGCUCUACAAAUGUGCGUCGCAGACGAAUCAAUUCGAAUAUUUCUUGUUGAACAAAUUUCUACAGACUACUCAAAUAUGUAUGAAAAUAGGAUAAAAAGUUCGAUAGAAU